CACGUAGGGCGCAAGCGUUGUCCGGAAUUAUUGGGCGUAAAGCGCUCGCAGGUGGUUCGUCGCGUCGUGCGUGAAAGACCCCGGCUCAACUGGGGGAGGUCGUGCGAUACGGGCGAACUGGAGGCCAGUAGGGGGAUGCGGAAUUCCGGGUGUAGUGGUGGAAUGCGUAGAGAUCCGGAGGAACACCAGCGGCGAAGGCGGCAUCCUGGACUGGUCCUGACACUCAUGAGCGAAAGCGUGGGGAGCGAUCCGG
rnacentral:rRNA from 1 species